CCACUUGUCUCGCCGUCCGCAACAAGGGCGAUAAGCACGAGGUGCUCCGUUUAGGUCCUAACGUGACGCUUUCCUAAUGCCCACAUGUAGGUUGGCAGUUUUACCACGAAGAGGCCUACCGCAAAUGUACUUCCUCUUUCCGUUCGUGGUGCUUCGCGCUGUAGCUCUGCUCAAAAGAAUGCCGCUUGAUCCCGUUUCUGUUCCAAAUAAUACAUCCAGUUAACCCAAUAAUGAAUCUUGUGGAAUGACAAGAAGAUUAAAAGAAGACAUUUGUUCUACCUAGUGUGUUGUAUUGAAGGUUCACCAGGAAUGUAGCGGUUCCUUUAAAAAAAGAAGACUGUCUUAUAAAUAGUCUGGUUUGGUUCAGUCAAACAUUGGCAGAGUGUAUUUUAAGACCUGGAGUCUUUGCUUCUUAUCUGAUUGUCCACAUACCCUGAUUGGAUGAUGCAUCAUGUGUCAUGUAAAUCCGGCUGAAGGGGCUGUGGGGAGAUGGGAGGAAAACACCUUUUCUGUUCCUGAGUUAGCAAAAAGGUAAACAAAGUUAGUGAUGACUCACCAACACAUCUAGAUCUUCAUCUGGCUUUUCAAAUGGCUGUAAAUGUUCUUCCUUCUAGCACCUGAAACGUGUUAUGUUCUACUUCCCCACUGGAGCCCACGGCUUCAUUUCACAGGACUGAGGAGAAAGGAGAGCAUCGGCAAAAGAAUCAGCUUUCACCCUUGAGCUAUAUGGGAAAUUAAGCCCUCAGAAGACUGCGGAUGGGUCGGCACGUGUUCCAGCACUGCAUGACAAAAAAGAAGAGCUUCAUCCCCGUCAGGUCCUGAGGAUAUCACAGGCGUUAUUUCAUGACAAACAUAUUACAGUGAUUCAAAUGUUUCCUUUAGGCUUCAGAUUAGUAGUUUCUGGCAUCACAGUGCUGUAUGGAGUCAGAUAAAUUAAAUGUGUUCAGAUUUAAAUGUGACAUUUUCAUGUUCCCUCUGUCGGGUUGCAUUAAUAAAGACUUUCCAAUAACUUCA